rnacentral:lncRNA from 1 species
UUCCCUGGAUUCACCGAGUGAAUGAAGUGGUGAAUAUCUAAACAGUAUUAGUGAGAAAAGAGCAUUGACCUGAGCUGUGCUGACAUUGGGUUGGUCCUGGUGAUUUCAAAGAAUCGAGCAUCACACUCAGGUAGAAGAUUUGCACAAUUACUGUACAACAGAACAUUUAGCAAGGAAGAAUUUUUAAAGGGGUGUAAAUAGUUUUAUUUCUACAAAGCAGCUUACAGUGAAACCAACAACAACAACGAAAACUGUUAAAAGUUAUUACCAGUUCCACAAUGACAUUUAUUUUAGGAGAUUAGCCAAUGCACUGGGUGUAAAUGCCUUUGCUGAAGUUAUAUGUGCCUAGCAUCAGUUAUGAUUGCUUUGACCUCUGCUUACCCUGAAGAGAGAGCAUCAGAAACUUGUCAUUUUUGUGAAGGAGGAUACAGGCCAUAGGGUAAAUCCUCAUUAAACCUCUUAGGAAGUUCUGAUUUAAAAAAUAAGCAAAUGGCAGGCUGAAGUACAGGGAUUAUAGAAGCCGAGGACACCUGAUACAGAUACAGAGAUUUAUCGGAGGGAAUAGAUUUAACUGGUGCUUGGUUUUCCUUUUUCUUCCGAGGGAUUGCUUUUAAUCUGGAUCCAGUUCAGGGAAAUGAACAUCCUGAAAGAAGCUUUAAACUGCUUCCACAGCCAGACAAGAAUUAGAUUUGUGGAAACUUUUGAACCAUAUACAGAUGUCUUUUGCAUAAGGAAGAACAUCUUGCAUGAAGCAGAGAUCUUGGCUUCUCUAGAACCUCUGACGCCUUUUACAAACAGGAUUGGUAUGGACAAAGUCCAUAGUGAAGUGGUCCAUGGUUUCCUGUGCUGCACAGUGCCUCAUGAAACAGCCGUGGUGGGUGAAGGAAGGACAGAUGGAGCAGAACAGAUCUGGGAAAGAUCUGCGCUGGUUCAAGGUUGUGGAUGUGCCGGGUUGUCUGAGCGUGUACAGCUCCCGUUGCCAUGAAGGAUGUGCUUGGAGUCACUAUUUUUAACACCUGUGGAAACAAGUGUUAGCAUGAAGGCACAUUCCAGUUUCUGUGUUCCUACAAACGCACCUCAUCUACCUCCACCAACACAGACAACCAAAUAUAAAUACUAAUUGAUACAAAUAUAAAUAGUGUUUAUAUUUUAUAUUCCUUCAAACCCUGCUUAAAAUGUCCUCUGUUGUAGCUUUUUGGUAUUCCUCCUCUCCUCAUCAAAUACCUCUUCUUCUUGUUCCAAUGGAAAAAAGCAAAACAGACCCAUUUUGUGCUGGGAUUUUAGAUGCUGGAUGCCUGCAAAACUGCCUUCUCAGCCAUGUGGCUGAGACCUCAAAGCUGAAGAACGCGUCCUUCAUACUCAGUUGCUGAGGCACUGGGGAUUUCUUAUGCGGAAGGAUUUUUUAACUAAAUGUAUAAAUCUUUUGGUAUUCAGGUGCUGCAGGAAGAGCUCCCACGUGCAUUUAUUUAACAUUAAGGUCCGUUAUAACUUCCACUCUGGCGUGAAGGAUAGGUUCAAUUACUUCCUGAUUUACGUAAAAAGCACUUAGAUUGUCUUAAGCAUCGUGAAAAAAAAAAAAAGUUUUUGUUUCAUAUAUCUCAAUUUCAGUAAAUUAUUCAUGUGAAUUUCAUUUUGACCAAAAGAAAGAUUUGUCCAAGCUGGAGAUCACCUUGCAUUUCAUGAGCUCUAUAUACCUGGAGGCCUCGAGUUGCAUCGCACACCCAGCAAGGUCAGUGCUUCUCCAGCUGUCACCGCACCUUGCAGCACCGACCUGUUUCUGGUGGCCAUGGAAGUGCUGGGAAUAAAAAAUAAAUCCAGAUUUCUAAACCUGGUUUC